UUUUAUGGCGGCUGUGUGCGGGCGGACUUCGGUCUGGCCGGGUUCCUUUUGCCGGUAAUCUCACACCGCACAUAGCUGCCACCUCU
rnacentral:antisense_RNA from 1 species